rnacentral:rRNA from 1 species
UGGGGAAUAUUGCGCAAUGGGGGGAACCCUGACGCAGCCAUGCCGCGUGAAUGAAGAAGGCCUUAGGGUUGUAAAGUUCUUUCGGUAUUGAGGAAGGUUGAUGUGUUAAUAGCACAUCAAAUUGACGUUAAAUACAGAAGAAGCACCGGCUAACUCCGUGCCAGCAGCCGCGGUAAUACGGAGGGUGCGAGCGUUAAUCGGAAUAACUGGGCGUAAAGGGCACGCAGGCGGUUAUUUAAGUGAGGUGUGAAAGCCCCGGGCUUAACCUGGGAAUUGCAUUUCAGACUGGGUAACUAGAGUACUUUAGGGAGGGGUAGAAUUCCACGUGUAGCGGUGAAAUGCGUAGAGAUGUGGAGGAAUACCGAAGGCGAAGGCAGCCCCUUGGGAAUGUACUGACGCUCAUGUGCGAAAGCGUGGGGAGCAAACAGGAUUAGAUACCCUGGUAGUCCACGCUGUAAACGCUGUCGAUUUGGGGGUUGGGGUUUAACUUUGGCGCCCGUAGCUAACGUGAUAAAUCGACCGCCUGGGGAGUACGGCCGCAAGGUUA